AGCAGCCGUGGUAAUUCCAGCUCCAAUAGCGUAUAUUAAAGUUGUUGCAGUUAAAAAGCUCGUAGUUGAAUUUCGGGAUCAAAUUGUCGGUCGUGCCUCGGUACGAACUGGUAUUAUUGGUUCCUCCCUUCUGAAGAACCGCGAUGUCAUUAAUUUGGUGUCGUGGGGAAUCAGGACCGUUACUUUGAAAAAUUAGAGUGUUUGAAGCAGGCUCACGCUUGAAUACAUUAGCAUGGAAUAAUGAAAUAGGACGUUUGAUUCUAUUUUGUUGGUUUCUAGGAUCGACGUAAUGAUUAAUAGGGAUAGUUGGGGGCAGUUAGUAUUCAAUUGUCAGAGGUGAAAUUCUUGGAUUUAUUGAAGACUAACUACUGCGAAAGCAUUUGCCAAGGAUGUUUUCAUUAAUCAAGAACGAAAGUUAGGGGAUCGAAGACGAUCAGAUACCGUCGUAGU
rnacentral:rRNA from 1 species